rnacentral:hammerhead_ribozyme from 1 species
ACCCAGCUGACGAGUCCCGAAUAGGACGAAGCUUGCGUCCUGGAU